GAGGGUUUAGCUCAAGUGGUAGAGCGCAUGCUUAGCAUGCAUGAGGUCCUGGGUUCAAUCCCCAGUACCUCCU
rfam:Camelus ferus unplaced genomic scaffold scaffold1866, whole genome shotgun sequence.